GACGAACGCUGGCGGCGUGCUUAACACAUGCAAGUCGAGCGGUAAGGCCCUUUCGGGGGUACACGAGCGGCGAACGGGUGAGCAACACGUGGGUGACCUGCCCUCAGCUCUGGGAUAAGCCUGGGAAACCGGGUCUAAUACCGGAUAUGACUCCAUGACGCAUGUUGUGGGGUGGAAAGCCUUGUGCGGCUGAGGAUGGGCCCGCGGCCUAUCAGCUUGUUGGUGGGGNGAUGGCCUACCAAGGCGACGACGGGUAGCCGGCCUGAGAGGGCGACCGGCCACACUGGGACUGAGACACGGCCCAGACUCCUACGGGAGGCAGCAGUGGGGAAUCUUGCGCAAUGGGCGAAAGCCUGACGCAGCGACGCCGCGUGAGGGAUGAC
rnacentral:rRNA from 1 species